AUUGAACGCUGGCGGCAUGCCUUACACAUGCAAGUCGAACGGUAACGGGCCUUCGGGUGCCGACGAGUGGCGAACGGGUGAGUAAUACAUCGGAACGUGCCCGAUCGUGGGGGAUAACGAGGCGAAAGCUUUGCUAAUACCGCAUACGAUCUACGGAUGAAAGCAGGGGACCGCAAGGCCUUGCGCGGACGGAGCUGCCGCUGGCAGAUUAGGGAGUUGGUGGGAUAAAAGCUUACCAAGACGACGAUCUGUAGCUGGUCUGAGAGGAUGAUCAGCCACACUGGGACUGAGACACGGCCCAGACUCCGACGGGAGGCAGCAGUGGGGAAUUUUGGACAAUGGGCGCAAGCCUGAUCCAGCCAUGCCGCGUGCAGGAUGAAGGCCUUCGGGUUGUAAACUGCUUUUGUACGGAACGAAAAGCCUUCGUUUAAUACAGGAGGGUCAUGACGGUACCGUAAGAAUAAGCACCGGCUAACUACGUG
rnacentral:rRNA from 1 species